AGCGAACGCUGGCGGCAGGCUUAACACAUGCAAGUCGAGCGGGCACUUCGUUGUCAGCUGCAGACGGGUGAGUAACACGUGGGAACGUACCCUUUUGUUCGGAAUAACGCUUUUAAACUAGCGCUAAUACCGGAUACGCCCUUUUGGUGAAAGGCUUGCUGCCGAAGGAUCGGCCCGCGUCUGAUUAGCUGGUUGGUGGGGUAAUGGCCUACCAAGGCUACGAUCAUUAGCUGGUAUGAGAGAAUGAUCAGCGACACUGGGACUGAGAAACAGCCCAGAAUACUACGGGAGGGAGGAGUGGGGAAUAUAGGAAAAUGGGGGGAAGGAUGAAGGAGCCAUGGCGCGAGAGUGAUGAAGGCGGUAGGGUUGUAAAGCUGUUUAGUACGGGACGAUAAUGACGGUACCGGAAGAAUAAGCCCCGGCUAACUUCGUG
rnacentral:rRNA from 1 species